GACAACGUGGCCGAGUGGUCUAAGGCGUGUGACUAGAAAUCACUUCUCCUCUGGAGGCGUAGGUUCGAAUCCUGCCGUUGUCG
rnacentral:tRNA from 4 species